CACGUAGGGGGCGAGCGUUGUCCGGAUUUAUUGGGCGUAAAGAGCGCGUAGGCGGCUAGAUAAGUCCGGUGUGAAAGUCACAGGCUCAACCUGUGAAUGCCGCUGGAAACUGUCUGGCUAGAGUCCGGAAGGGGCGAGUGGAAUUCCUGGUGUAGCGGUGAAAUGCGCAGAUAUCAGGAGGAACACCAAUGGCGAAGGCAGCUCGCUGGGACGGUACUGACGCUGAGGCGCGAAAGCGUGGGGAGCAAACAGG
rnacentral:rRNA from 1 species